rnacentral:lncRNA from 1 species
GGAAAGAGAGAUUCACACUGUAGUUUUAUACUGGUUCGGCCAACCUGCCUACGUUCAGUCUUCUUUCAAUCAACCUUAGAUUAAAAGGAUUUCACUAUAUUGAUUGAGUUCUUACAAGCAAGAUACAGAGAACAAUCCUCUCAAUGUACUCUCAUUCCUAACUCUAAAUCAACUAUACCAUAAACCCAAAAAGAUCACCCACUUUUUGUCGCCCUUAGAGAUUCCACACUCUGAGUCAAAGAACUAUACCAAGUCCUCUUCCUA